GGGGUUGUGGCUCAGGGGUAGAGUGCUUGCUUCACAGUUAAGAGGACUGGGUUCGAUCCUCAGCACCACA
rnacentral:tRNA from 1 species